rnacentral:rRNA from 1 species
AUUGAACGCUGGCGGCAGGCCUAACACAUGCAAGUCGAGCGUGCGGCGGACGGGUGAGUAAUGUCUGGGAAACUGCCUGAUGGAGGGGGAUAACUACUGGAAACGGUAGCGAAUACCGCAUACCAUCAGAUGUGCCCAGAUGGUAUUAGCUAGUAGGUGGGGUAAUGGCUCACCUAGGCGACGACCCCUAGCUGGUCUGAGAGGAGGACCAGCCACAUUGGAACUGAGACACGGUCAAGAGUCCUACGGGAGGAAGCAGUGGGGAAUAUUGCACAAUGGGCGAAAGCCUGAUGCAGCCAUGCCGCGUGAGUGAAGAAGGCCUUCGGGUUGUAAAGCUCUUUCAGCGGGGAAGCGGUAGCCAAAGAAGAAGCACCGGCUAACUCCGUGCCAGCAGCCGCGGUAAUAG